GACCUGGCCGACUGCAAGCUUGUUUCUUUCCCCAUCUGCAUCUACAAGGUCCUGAGGAACGUCUCUGACCAGAUCCACCUCAUCACGCUGGCCAACAAUGAACUCAAGUCCCUCACCAGCAAGUUCAUGACCACCUUCAGUCAGCUUCGAGAGCUACGCCUGGAGGGCAACUACCUCUAUCGCCUCCCCAACGAGGUCAGCAGCCUGCAGCACCUCAGGGCCAUCGACCUGUCCCGAAACCAGUUUCAAGACUUCCCAGAGCAGCUGACCACCUUGCCUGCGCUGGAGACCAUCAAUCUGGAGGAAAACGAGAUAGUGGAUGUUCCGGUGGAGAAGCUGGCCGCCAUGCCAGCUCUGCGCACCAUCAACCUGCGUCUCAACCCCCUCAGCGCCGAGGUGCGUGUGAUUGCCCCGCCACUCAUCAAGUUUGAUAUGCUCAUGACUCCAGAGGAUACACGGGCCCCUCUGCCUUAGGACAUGGUCCUGUGCUCACUCAGCAAGGGACAAAGGAUACUGGCCUGCCACCCUGAGAGGAGGGAGGCCCAUGGGAAACCAAGCUAGGAAGCGGGGUGGGUGGGCCAGGCAGCAUACAGAGGGAGGGGCACAGCUAAGCCAGGGUGGGGAUAGCUUAGCACUGUAGGAGCCCUGGUGCUCCAGAGGGAGGAGGUAGGUGAGGCUAGAGCGAGGCUCAGGGCACUCACAACUGCUGUGCCGACUUGGGUAGGUCUCUUGCUCUCUCUGAGCUUGGUUACUUGGGAGGAGGAAAAAUAGUGACAAAUCUUUCCUACAUGGGACUCUUGAGAGGUUCUGUCCCCACACCAGGAGUUGGAUGCCCUCUAAGCUCACGGAUGAGCCUUGCUGGCAUUUUAUGGACCUUGUGAUUUGAAGCCUUGUUUCUAGUGGGAGAGCCAGGCACCAUCCUGAGGAGACCACCUCCGUUUAAUUAUCACCUUCUGUGGACUGAACACAGCGACACCUGUCAUGUUGCCUGGCCAUCGGGCUCCCUGGACUGGUUGGAGCCUGAACCAGGAGUUGGAAUGUCUGGAUACUGGUUGGGCCCUGCAGCAGGAAUGUUUAUGAAAGAACCCUUAGACAUCUGGCCAGGGUACAGAGGGGCAGCUCCAGGCGGCUCAGUCUACCUUGUCCCAAGACAUUGUGUGAAAGACUUUCUACAUACUCCCUGAGAAUGACCUGGCAUGGUUAGGCAUUCCCUGCAGGGCCACAGGAGAGGUGGCCCAGAGAAGACAAAGCCAUUUGCACUUGUGACUGUCACCCGAGGUCCUUAGGUGACCUCCUUCACCAUGGCCUUCCUCGCAUGAUCUCCCUCUAAUGACAACCUGGUUGCCUUGUCCUGGCCCAGUACCACCAACCUCAAGGCUAUCACCAAAAUGACCUGCCAUCUUGAUGACCUUUGCCUGUGGUCUAGGGGCUACCAGCUGCCCCAGUAUGCCCAGAAUGGUGGCAUUUCCCAGGAGGUAGCUGGGCCCUUGCCCCUUGAUAAGGUCUGUGCUUGGGGCUAUCCCUAACCCCCUCAAUCUCCGUGUGUCUACCUCCUCCCCUGAGCAGCAGGCCUAUCAGCCGCCCCCAGUCCUGGCUGCUCUACACCUUUGUGGAGGACUGUGGAGGUCCCAGGACACAGGCAGGGGUAAGCCACUUUGUCUCCAACAUUUUGCUGUUUAGAACUCAAACUAUUGUUCAGAGACCCACCACAGAGUUUGUCUGGGUCCCUGUCUCCUCACAGUGACUCUUGGUAAGGUUCCUGGCUCUUGGUAAGGUUGUCAUGGGUAACCAUAGUGUCACGGCUGUGUAUCCUAAAAGAAACCUUGGCCAUUUCCUCUCUCAUCCCAAGACCAGUCAUCCGGGUAAGGAAGUAGACACAGGACCCAAGCAAGGGCUGUGUGCAGGCCAGGCUGGACUGGCUCCUCCCUUCCACCCUCUAUCCCUGAGUUGGGGGUUUCACCUUGUCAAGGAAGAGGGUUGUAAGUGCCUGCCAACUCCAAGUGUUGAUAGGCUAACACCAGCUUGCUAGAAACACAGCCUCCAGGGGUGUACAUGUGUGAUCCAGCAGGGGCGGGGGGUGGGGGUUAGACUGUAGCAUUGUGGGUUCGAGGCCAGCCUGUGCUGUAUAACGAGAGCCUGUCUCAGCACAACAACAGCAGACAAAGUAGAAGAAGAGUGUCAGGCACAGUGGUGCCCUCUUGUAACCCCCGUCCUCCGAAAGUAGGAGCAGAAAGAUCAGGAGUUCUAGGCCAACCUUGGCCUAGAGUAAAGGGUCCCUGGGCUAUGUGAGACCCCAUUUCAGUAAAGGAGAGGGCAAGUACAGUGCACAGCCUCCCACCUCAUACUGGCUGUGAGUCGGAGCUGUGUUUCAGCAAACACUGAGGCUGAUCCUUCUAGGAAUGUCAGUUUGAGCGUCAGCAGAGGGCCUGGGCGACCUGGGCACGUGCAGAGUGAAGGCUGUACCCCUCCUCCACUUCCUUGGAUCGGAGCAUAUGCUCAGCCUCCCCCUAACUCAGCACCGGGAGACCGCUGCACCUCAGAUCAUGUCCCCAUCGUUGUGUCACUCAAUGGUCUACCUAGUGAUGACAGGUGACGGUUAGCCACGCCCUGUCUUCCCAUCCGACCUCUGGUUAUUCCUGCAUGCCAACUGGGGUUGUUCCUGGAAGUCGUUCUCUACGCUGCCUAGACAUUAUGAUGUGGCCUGUCUAGACAAGCUUGGGCAGUCAGAACCCUCCAGAUCCAGGCUCAGAGUGUGAAGAAGCCCUGCGCUGCUUCAGCCUGCAAUAAAAGACGCUGUGCUGGUCUCAUCCACUGGU
rnacentral:lncRNA from 1 species